AGUAAUGUAUGGGGAUCUGCCCGAUAGAGGGGAAUAACUACUGGAAACGGUGGCUAAUACCGCAUAAUGUCUACGGACCAAAGCAGGGGCUCUUCGGACCUUGCACUAUCGGAUGAACCCAUAUGGGAUUAGCUAGUAGGUGGGGUAAAGGCUCACCUAGGCGACGAUCUCUAGCUGGUCUGAGAGGAUGAUCAACCACACUGGGACUGAGACACGGCCCAG
rnacentral:rRNA from 1 species